rnacentral:lncRNA from 1 species
GGGUUGAUGUGAUUUCGCUGAGUGUUGGUGGUGUCGUGGUACCCUAUCACCUUGACGCCAUUGCUAUCGGUGCUUUCAGUGCUGCUGAUCAGGGGGUAUUUCUGUCUGCCUCAGCUGGAAACGGUGGUCCUGGUGGAUUGACCGUCACUAACGUGGCUCCUUGGGUGGCUACGAUCGGUGCAGGGACGAUUGAUAGGGAUUUUCCAGCUGAUGUCAAGCUUGGAAACGGGAAAGUCGUGCCUGGAGUCAGUGUGUACAAUGGGCUGGGUUUAUCUCCGGGCCGGAUGUACCCGUUGGUAUAUGGCGGGACCGGCGGUGGUGAUGGCUAUUCAUCUUCUUUAUGCUUAGAAGGUUCACUGGAUCCUAAGUUUGUCAAAGGUAAAAUGGUUGUGUGUGAUAGAGGGAUUAAUUCCAGAGCUGCUAAAGGGGAAGUUGUCAAAAAAGCCGGCGGAAUUGGAAUGAUUUUAGCUAAUGGUGUUUUCGACGGUGAAGGGUUAGUCGCCGAUUGCCAUGUCUUGCCAGCGACUGCCGUUGGUGCAUCAAAUGGGGCUGAGAUUAGGGGGUACAUUGAUUCCGCCUCUAAAUCCAAGUCACCAGCCACCGCCACCAUCCUCUUUAAAGGAACUCGAUUAGGUGUACGACCAGCACCCGUCGUGGCUUCAUUUUCAGCUCGAGGGCCUAACCCUGAAACUCCCGAAAUUCUGAAACCUGAUGUUAU